CAGGCCUAACACAUGCAAGUCGAGCGCUUGGGGUGUUCCCUUACGGGAAACCCCCUGGAGCGGCGGACGGGUGAGUAACACGUAGGCAACCUGCCUGUAAGAUCGGGAUAACUACCGGAAACGGUAGCUAAGACCGGAUAGCUGGUUUCUCCGCAUGGGGGAAUCAUGAAACACGGGGCAACCUGUGGCUUACGGAUGGGCCUGCGGCGCAUUAGCUAGUUGGUGGGGUAAUGGCCCACCAAGGCGACGAUGCGUAGCCGACCUGAGAGGGUGAUCGGCCACACUGGGACUGAGACGCGGCCCAGACUCCUACGGGAGGCAGCAGUAGGGAAUCUUCCGCAAUGGGCGCAAGCCUGACGGAGCAACGCCGCGUGAGUGAUGAAGGUUUUCGGAUCGUAAAGCUCUGUUGCCAAGGAAGAACGCCUCGGAGAGUAACUGCUCUGAGGGUGACGGUACUUGAGAAGAAAGCCCCGGCUAACUACGUGCCAGCAGCCGCGGUAAUACGUAGGGGGCAAGCGUUGUCCGGAAUUAUUGGGCGUAAAGCGCGCGCAGGCGGUCUUUUAAGUUUGGUGUUUAAGCCCGGGGCUCAACCCCGGUUCGCACUGAAAACUGGGAGACUUGAGUGCAGGAGAGGAAAGCGGAAUUCCACGUGUAGCGGUGAAAUGCGUAGAGAUGUGGAGGAACACCAGUGGCGAAGGCGGCUUUCUGGACUGUAACUGACGCUGAGGCGCGAAAGCGUGGGGAGCAAAC
rnacentral:rRNA from 1 species